ACGGAAGGCAGCAGUGGGGAAUAUUGCACAAUGGGGGAAACCCUGAUGCAGCGACGCCGCGUGAGUGAAGAAGUUAUUCGUAAUGUAAAGCUCUAUCAGCAGGGAAGAAAAUGACGGUACCUGACUAAGAAGCCCCGGCUAACUACGUGCCAGCAGCCGCGGUAAUACGUAGGGGGCAAGCGUUAUCCGGAUUUACUGGGUGUAAAGGGAGCGUAGACGGUCUAGCAAGUCUGAUGUGAAAGGCAGGGGCUCACCUCCUGGACUGCAUUGGAAACUGUUAGUCUUGAGUGUCGGAGAGGUAAGCGGAAUUCCUAGUGUAGCGGUGAAAUGCGUAGAUAUUAGGAGGAACACCAGUGGCGAAGGCGGCUUACUGGACGAUAACUGACGUUGAGGCUCGAAAGCGUGGGGAGCAAACAGGAUUAGAUACCCUGGUA
rnacentral:rRNA from 1 species